rnacentral:tRNA from 1 species
GCCCUCGUGGCCUAGCGGUACUUUGCGCAGUAAAGUUUGCGCGAAGCGCAAUAGGGCGCGUCCUUGGUAAGGACGAGGUCGCGAGUUCAAUCCUCGCCGAGGGCU